rnacentral:tRNA from 2 species
GCUUCUGUAGCUCAGUUGGUAGAGCAGCUGAUUUGUAAUCAGCAGGUCGUCGGAUCGUAGCCGGCCAGAAGCU